rnacentral:rRNA from 1 species
CAGCAGCCGCGGUAAUACGUAGGGUGCGAGCGUUAAUCGGAAUUACUGGGCGUAAAGCGUGCGCAGGCGGUUUGAUAAGACAGGCGUGAAAUCCCCGAGCUCAACUUGGGAAUGGCGCUUGUGACUGUCAGGCUAGAGUAUGUCAGAGGGGGGUAGAAUUCCACGUGUAGCAGUGAAAUGCGUAGAGAUGUGGAGGAAUACCGAUGGCGAAGGCAGCCCCCUGGGACGUGACUGACGCUCAUGCACGAAAGCGUGGGGAGCAAACAGGAUUAGAUACCCUGGUAGUCCACGCCCUAAACGAUGUCAACUGGUUGUUGGGAGGGUUUCUUCUCAGUAACGUAGCUAACGCGUGAAGUUGACCGCCUGGGGAGUACGGCCGCAAGGUUGAAACUCAAAGGA